rnacentral:rRNA from 1 species
AGGGAAUCUUCCGCAAUGGACGAAAGUCUGACGGAGCAACGCCGCGUGAGUGAAGAAGGCCUUCGGGUCGUAAAGCUCUGUUGCCGGGGAAGAACAAGUGCCGUUCGAACAGGGCGGUGCCUUGACGGUACCCGGCCAGAAAGCCACGGCUAACUACGUGCCAGCAGCCGCGGUAAUACGUAGGUGGCAAGCGUUGUCCGGAAUUAUUGGGCGUAAAGCGCGCGCAGGCGGCUUCUUAAGGCUGAUGUGAAAUCUUGCGGCUCAACCGCAAGCGGUCAUUGGAAACUGGGAGGCUUGAAUGCAGAAGAGGAGAGUGGAAUUCCACGUGUAGCGGUGAAAUGCGUAGAGAUGUGGAGGAACACCAGUGGCGAAGGCGACUCUCUGGGCUGUAACUGACGCUGAGGCGCGAAAGCGUGGGGAGCAAAC